rnacentral:rRNA from 1 species
AGUGGCGGACGGGUGAGCAACGCGUGAACAAUCUGCCCUGUACACAGGAAUAGCCUCGGGAAACUGGGAUUAAAACCGGAUAACACUUUCUGGCCGCAUGGCCGGGAAGUCAAAUUGAUUUAGAGGUACAGGACGAGUUCGCGUCUGACUAGCUAGUUGGUGAGGUAACGGCUCACCAAGGCGACGAUCAGUAGCCGGCCUGAGAGGGUGAACGGCCACACUGGAACUGAGACACGGUCCAGACUCCUACGGGAGGCAGCAGUGGGGAAUAUUGCACAAUGGAGGAAACUCUGAUGCAGCGACGCCGCGUGAGUGAAGAAGGUCUUCGGAUCGUAAAACUCUGUCCUUGGUGACGAAAAAAAUGACGGUAGCCAAGGAGGAAGCCCCGGCUAACUACGUGCCAGCAGCCGCGGUAAUACGUAGGGGGCGAGCGUUGUCCGGAUUUACUGGGCGUAAAGGGUGAGUAGGCGGUAAUAUGUGUCAGAUGUAAAAGGCUAUGGCUUAACCAUAGUUGGCGAUUUGAAACUGUAUUACUUGAGUGCAGGAGAGGUAAGUGGAAUUCCUAGUGUAGCGGUGAAAUGCGUAGAUAUUAGGAGGAACACCAGUGGCGAAGGCGACUUACUGGACUGUAACUGACGCUGAGUCACGAAAGCGUGGGUAGCGAACAGGAUUAGAUACCCUGGUAGUCCACGCC